AAUUUGAAUUUUUUUGCAAGACUAGUGUUAUAUCCCGUAUUUUAAAAGUUCGGAUAUUCCAAGGUAGUCGUGGCAAGUUAAGGGUAAGGCUAUUUUCAAAAAUUAUGUUAAUGUACAAGUUGGUUAUAAAUAUCAAUUAUGGACAUUACUAGAAUGGAAAUGUUAAGAAAGGCCAAGGGUAAGAAGGAAAAUUCGCAAAAGGGUUCAUGGUAAAAUUGCGGAAAGAAUAGGGGCAAAAUGGGAAUUUCACAAAAAAAAAAUAAAAAAAAUCAAGAAUGUUCUUGAAGGGCCCUUGGCCGUGUGGCAUGCCCCUAUAUGUCCACAUUUUUAUUUAAUGGGGGUUAAUUAUGUACAUGUAUGGACAAAGCUUGCAAGAGAAGCCAACCAAGUCAUCUUUUUCAAGAAAACUCUAGAAAAGGAAAAAUGGAAAAAAAAAAAAAAAGAGAAAAAUCUAGAGAGAGGCAUGUGCCCCUCACAUGCCACUAUAACUAUAUAUAUAUAUAUAUAUGUAUGAGUCUUGAAAAAACAAGACAAUUUAUCAUUUACAACUCUAGAAAUUUCAAAAGAAACAAAGAAAAAAAAAAGACACUUUGGAAGAAAAAUAAAGGGCCAAUUUCGGCCAAGCUUGGAGGAAAAAAGAACCUUGGAAAAAUUUCUCAAAAAAUUACUCUCUACUAAUUGGAAGGUCCCUAGCAAGGAGAAGAGGUCAUUGGAACAAGUAGAACAUUUAUUGUUGCAAGAUCAACAUUCUAGCCAAGUGGGAAAUUGAAGAAAAAGGAUUUUGGCGGAUUUGGAACGUGAAUUUGGAGUCGCAUAAGAAGCAGAAAAGGUACACCAGCUGAGCCACAAUUAUCAUAGAAGAUGUUCCAGCGGAGUUGGCGGGCUCCACUUGUGUUUGUUCGUCAGAGUAUAUGAGCUAUGGUGUUUGUUCAAUGUUAGAGACUUUGCAGACAGAGUCAUGAGUAUAGAGUGUCAGCUUGGUAGACGGCUUCAACCGUCACAAUGUUAUUAUGUUUCAUGUCGCGGGUCCCAUAUGAUGAUAGACAUUACUUAUGAAAAAAAAUAUUGGAGGGCUUACCAUGUAUUUAUUUCUUAAUUGAUACAAGAGUUUAUCUAUGUAAUAAGAGUCAGCGGGUUCGCUCGGCUCCAGAUAUGGGGUCGGGUGCCCAUCACACCCUAGUAAAGUCGGGGUGUGACAACUAGUAUAAAUAGUCUUUAAGUAUUUUACAUUAGGGUGGGUUAGUUUUUUGGA